AACAGCCCUCUGGGUCGUAAACUGCUUUUAUUCGGGAAUAAACCUACUUACGUGUAAGUAGC
rnacentral:rRNA from 1 species